GUGCUCUUCAUUGUCUUGAGGAACUUCUGAAGAAGUGCUGUUUAGGGUCUGUGGAUCAGUUCAUUGUAUUAACAAAGAAAUUGACUCGUGGGGCGUUGCUUUCUCCAAUGGAGGCUUCAGAAGAGUUCCGUGAAGGAGUGAUAAGGUGUUUCAAAGCACUUUUGCUUAAUCUGCAUUGCUGUUCCAGUGAGUCCUGCCCAUGCAAACAAAUAAGCGGUUGGCCUUUG
rnacentral:misc_RNA from 1 species